GAUGAACGCUGGCGGCGUGCCCAAUACAUGCCAGUCGAGCGAACGGACGAGAAGCUUGCUUCUCUGAUGUUAGCGGCGGACGGGUGAGUAACACGUGGAUAACCUACCUAUAAGACUGGGAUAACUUCGGGAAACCGGAGCUAAUACCGGAUAAUAUUUUGAACCGCAUGGUUCAAAAGUGAAAGACGGUCUUGCUGUCACUUAUAGAUGGAUCCGCGCUGCAUUAGCUAGUUGGUAAGGUAACGGCUUACCAAGGCAACGAUGCAUAGCCGACCUGAGAGGGUGAUCGGCCACACUGGAACUGAGACACGGUCCAGACUCCUACGGGAGGCAGCAGUAGGGAAUCUUCCGCAAUGGGCGAAAGCCUGACGGAGCAACGCCGCGUGAGUGAUGAAGGUCUUCGGAUCGUAAAACUCUGUUAUUAGGGAAGAACAUAUGUGUAAGUAACUGUGCACAUCUUGACGGUACCUAAUCAGAAAGCCACGGCUAACUACGUG
rnacentral:rRNA from 1 species